CUGUGCACCCUGACCCCCAGGCCUCCUGAUGACGAUGGUCUCAAGAUUGAAUGUCUGGCCACAAACCCUGUCACGAACAGAACCAACUCAAGCAGUGUGACACUCGCACUCAACUACCCCCCUACAUCGCCGCCAGUGAUCACAGGAAACCCGACUCUCCCUGAGGGCCAGCCUGUGUAUGAGGGAGACACCUUCACUCUAACAUGUACAGUACGAGGCAGUAAACCUUCUAACGAUACUGUCAUAACGUUUACCUGCCCCAACAGGACCGACACACCUGACAGCAGCUUGGACUCAUCCAGUGUCACCAGCAGCUUGACCUUUGAUCCCGUUACUUCAAACAACCAUGGCAACUGCAGUUGUACUGCCGCAUGGAAAAGUUAUGAUUGGUACAGACAAAAAGCUAACUGGAUCAUCAAUGUAUAUACUCCUCCAUCUAUUCCAGUAAUUUUUCCACUCGGUG